GCCCCCGUGGCCCAACCGGCAGAGGCAGGCCACUUAAAAUGGCUCAAGUGCGGGUUCGAAUCCCGUCGGGGGCACCA
rnacentral:tRNA from 1 species